rnacentral:lncRNA from 1 species
GGGUCAGAUAUCUAAAAUCUAAAUCUGACUUAGUUAUUAAAUGAGUUAAACGGGUCGACCUGUUUAUGACCCUUUAGGUUAAAUCCAAACUUAUUUAUGGUGGAUCGAAUAUGGAUCGGGUUAGUGGGUUGGAUCAUAUUUUGCCAGCCCUAAUCUCAAGGCCUCCAGACAAGCUGCUCUCCCACAUCGACUAGGAAAAGGGGGUGAUCAAGUGCCACACCCACCUCACUUUGUGGCAAAGAAAGAGAGUAUGCUCCACCAUCUUGUCCUCCAAACCAUAACACGAGCAGGAAGUCGGAAUGUCCAUCCCUUUGGCUUGCAGCAGAACUCCAGUAGACAGCCGAAACCAUGCCAUCUUCCAGAGAAAUAGACUGACCCUAGGGUGGAUCCAAAGUCUCCAAAUCCAGGUGCCAUCCAUCAUCCUUGUCGGCUCACCUUUGUAAAUCUCAUAGAGCUCACUGGUCACUGCCCUAGAGGUGC